AUUAGAAAUUAGAAAUAAGUUUUAUAUAAUUGUAAUUUUUUUAAACACAAAUUAUACUUUUCGUUGUUAUUUUCUUUCUCCCAACUUCCCUCCUCUUCUUUCUCCCAACUUCCUAAUUGAAUUAUAUUCUUGGUUGUUCUUCUUCUUCCUUUCAAGUUCCCUCUUUUUCUUUCUCUCAACUUUCCAAUUGAUGAAUUCGAAAUUGCAAUUCAAAACCCUAAAUUUCUAAAUCCCUCCACUGCGAUGUCACUCUCCUACUCCAACUUCUUUCUCGAUGACGACCUCCUAUACAACGAGAAAACCUCCAGCGUCUUAUCCAGAGAUUUGUUGGCGGAAAGCUUCUCUGAUGUCGAUUCGUCUCCGCCGACGGAGGAAGAGUUAUGCACUUUCUAUUAACUUCACCGGCAGACUCAUAGACUCGCUCUUGUAGGUGUUGCCCAAAAUGUGCUUUGUUAGAUGAAACGAAACGACAUUAUAGUAAUGAGCAGUUGCUGUAGUUUGAGAUCUGAUUUCAUCGUCAUGGAAAUCGAACUGAGUAGUAGCAGUACUAUAGUAAAAGAGGUUUUGGUACCAUUUUUAGUUCCACUGUUAAUCCUAGAUCACUCAGGUUUCAACCCUCUGGUUUGUCUUCUGUUCCUGACAACUUUGAUUUCUCAGUUAUUCCAAUUUUGAGUCUAAUUUUAUAGCUAUUGGUUUAUCUCUCUCCCCAUCAAUGCUUCAGGGUUUUGCCUUUACUGAUUUCAUGAAUGGCUUUAUCUCUCUCCCCAUCAAGGCUCCUGAUUUUGCUUUCAACAAAGCACUUAAGGUUAUAAUCUUUUUCUUAUUCUCGAUUUUAAGUUAUUUUCAUGAUCAAUGAGCAGGUUCAUUUUAUGCCCAACCUCAAAGACAAGAACUUAUACAAGAUUUUUACAAAAAUUAGCACGAUCAUGUUCGUGGCGUGGUUAGUGGUGACAUAUGAAUUUCAACUUUUAGUAAUACCAUAAACUUCAUGUCCUAUUUCUGCAGAGAUUUGUUGGUUUCGUUUAGAGCAACAGGACGGAUGCUGCAAAGGAUUAUAUUUUAUACGUCUGUAUCUUUAAUUUAUAUGUAUUUUAAAAAAUAAUAUCAUGAUAUAUCUAAAUGAUGACAUCUAAAUGGACUACUAAUUGUACAGGGAUGGUGUAAGUGAAGGACAAUUUUACCAAGUUCUACUAUACGAGCUUGAUGAGAUUCGGAAGGUGUGUGUUUCUUUGGAGCCAAACUUUCAUAGUUGUACAAAAAAGACAUCAUACUAAGUUAUUCGCGAACAACCACACGGACAGGAAUAAUACAUAUAGUAGUGAAAAUAUACUGUCUGGAACUGAUGUUUAUACAAAAAUCGAUCACCCAACCGAGUUUGAUUUUUAUCUCUGUAGUCACGCCGGCAUCCAGGGGGUGCAUCCUUGUGAUAAGAGAAGGCACAUCACUGAGUACAAGAAAAUGUUUCCAGCAAUUGAUUUUUCACUGAUUGAGUCUGAUGACGACAUUUUGUGGAAACCUGAUAUUCGAGAGAAGAAUGAAGAAGUUGCUGCCAGGGGACUGAAAUUUUUGGAAUGGUUGUGGACUCAUAAAGAAAAAGAGAUUGAUGUUGUUACUCACAGUGGUUUUCUAUUUCAUACUCUAAGUGCUUUUGGAAAUGAUUGCCAUCCAAAUGUGAAGAGUGAAAUCUGCACACAAUAAGUAUUCAUCUAAAAAUAAUGUAUCAUCUUUUUCUUACAAUAUUCUAAAAAUCGAACAGCCAGUUCAACUAGUUGAACCUUGAACCCACACUGUCUAUAAUUUGAAUGUCUCUCUGGUUCGAUGCUUUGCUAAUUGUGAGCUGCGUUCAGUGGUUAUCAUCGAUAGAGGGAUGAUUGGAUCAAAUGAGUCCUCUACCAACUUUCCUGACAAGAUUCCACACGGCCUUGACCUUCCCAGUGAUGUUGCUGACGAGAAAAA